GACGAACGCUGGCGGCGUGCUUAACACAUGCAAGUCGAACGAAGUGGCGAACGGGUGAGUAACGCGUAAUCAACCUGCCCUUCAGUGGGGGACAACAGUUGGAAACGACUGCUAAUACCGCAUACUGAAGGAGGGGAUUGCGUCUGAUUAGCUAGUUGGAGGGGUAACGGCCCACCAAGGCGAUGAUAAGUAGCCGGGCUGGGAGGCUGAACGGGCACAUCGGGACUGAGACACGGCCCAGACUUCUACGGGGGGCAGCAGUGGGGAAUCUUCCGAAAUGGACGAAAGUCUGACGGAGCAAAGCCGCGUGAGUGAUGACGGCCUUCGGGUUGUAAAGCUCUGUUAAUCGGGACGCGGUACCGGAAUAGAAAGCCACGGCUAACUACGUGCCAGCAGCCGCGGUAAUUC
rnacentral:rRNA from 1 species